AGCCUCUAUUACAAACUCCAAAAGCCUUUUUAAAUCUCAAAUACAAUAUGAGUUUAAAAUUAAAUGCAUUGCAGCAACGUUGUCCUGAUGAUCAAAUUAAGAUCCUACAUCUGUACAGAGAUUGUCUUUAUCUGAAUAAGGCAUUUUGAGUUAUUAGCAAUGAAGGUGCCACUGUCAGCUGCUGUAAACCUCUGUGAUUGGAUGUUAUAGACCCCUAUCUGAACAGUUUCUUUCUCCAUGCUGUGGCCCUCAGCAACUGGCCACAUAGAGACUAAAGGCCUAUGCGACCUAUGCUGCACACCACAUCAAGCCAUCUCUGAACUGGGGGAAGGUAUUAGGAAGGCUGAAAGAUAACAGUGAAUAUGAGCCAUGUGUUACGGGUAUGUACUGGAGGCAAAGUCAGGUGCAGGAGAGCAGAGUGUAGUUAACAGGGGCACUUUUUAUUCCGGUCCAAACGAAAGCACAUAAGUACAUAUAACGUGCCCAAAACACGGAACAUAAACAAAAGUCUGGCACGUAACCAACCCACACAACAUCAAAACUAAUUUUACACAAAGACAUGGAGAGGAACAGAGGAUUAAUACAUUUAGUGUGAUUAGGGAAUGAAAACCAGGUGUGUAUGGGACAAGACAAAACAAAUGGGACUAUGAAAAAUGGAGCGGCGAUCGCCGAACGUCGCCCGAACAAGGAGAGGAGCCGACUUCGGCGGAAGUCGUAACAACAUGGAGGACGGUAUUGGGAAGGUAGACAGAUAACAGUGAAUAUGAGACAUGGAGGAAGGUGGAAAGAUAACAGUGAAUAUGAGACAUGGAGGAAGGUGGAAAGAUAACAGUGAAUAUGAGACAUGGAGGAAGGUGGAAAGAUAACAGUGAAUAUGAGACAUGGAGGAAGGUGGAAAGAUAACAGUGAAUAUGAGACAUGGAGGAAGGUAUUGGGAAGACUGAAAGAUAACAGUGAAUAUGAGACAUGGAGGAAGGUAGAAAGAUAACAGUGAAUAUGAGACAUGGACUAAGGAUGAAAGAUAACAGUGAAUAUGAGACAUGGACUAAGGAUGAAAGAUAACAGUGAAUAUGAGACAUGGAG
rnacentral:lncRNA from 1 species